rnacentral:rRNA from 1 species
UACGAGAGGCCCAAACGUUAUUCGGAAUUACUGGGCUUAAAGAGUUCGUAGGCGGCGCAGAAAGUAGGGUGUGAAAGCCCUCGGCUUAACCGAGGAAUUGCGCUCUAAACUACUGUGCUUGAGGAACCUAGAGGUGAGCAGAACUGAUGGUGGAGCGGUGAAAUGCGUUGAUAUCAUCAGGAAUACCGGAGGCGAAGGCGGUUCUCUGGGCCUUACCUGACGCUGAGGAGCGAAAGCGUGGGGAGCAAACAGG